UUUUUUUUUUUUUAAACUGAAUAUUUUUGGAAAAAAUAUGAAGAAGUUAUCUCUGACAUUUCUAUUGUCAGGUUGCCAAGACAUGUUUGGGGAAUCAUAAUGAUUCAACAUCUCGUUUGAAAGCAGCAGAAACAGAGACAAGCUUUCAGAAGUUUCACAGCCCUCCAUGGACUAAACCUGAAGAUGAAAAAUCACCUGAAAAAAAAGAGAAAAAAUACGAAGAAUCAGUUAGUACUCCAGAAUAAAACCUCUAAAUGCUACUAACCUACAUUGAAAAAUGCCAAUCACUUCCAUUUUCAUGUUCUGCUAGCACAAAGGCAUGAAAUGUCCCCUGUUUCUAAAGCAUGGAUUUUUCACUAUUUUAUGAGUGUCUGUAAAUUAGUCUAGAACAGACCAGUUAGUACCUUACAGCAAUAAUCCAAAAUUGAUGUUUGAAGAAGUGCUUUGUAAUGCAGUCCAGUUUUUGAACUCUUGUUCUACCUUAUCAGUAAUUGUAUACUAUAAAUUACCUUCUUUGUAAACAACA